ensembl:lncRNA
GUAUUCUAUCCUCUAACCUUAAAACUACCCACCACAGAAAAUAUCUGUUUUUGGAUUUUUAAAAAACAUCACUUAGUAUGAUUUAUUGAUCUUUUACAUACACAGACACACAUACAUACAUAUACAUAUAUAUAUGUUAUAUAAUUAGCCUUAAUCAGCUAGUAAACUCAUAAAUUGUUUACUAUUUACAUUCUCAGGGAGCACGGAACUUCAACCCAGUUCCAUACAAUGCAGAGUAUUUUGGUCACAAAUUACAUAUGGACCAAAACGAGAAACUCGUUAUGUUUGGAGUUACACAUGUGGUAGGAGUUGAUGGAUACAGCAACAGAGUUGUUGGGCAUGCAACCAUGCCUAUCAAGAACAAUCUUACUAUCUAUGAGGAGGUAUUCAGACCAGCCGUUCUGUCCAAUGGAUUGUGGGAUCAAGUACGUGUAGACUGCGGGAAAGAAUAUUGCUUAUGUCUGUUUAUGCGAGAGAUCCUAUCUGCAUACAGAUAUAAUACAGCGAGAGAGCCUUACAAACAGACGCCUUCAACAAAGACUGCCCGUAUUGGCGUAGGAAGAGUAGUGGACUCAUGGAAUGCCCACAGAAUUCCAGGGAGAGGUGUCCCAAAUGCCUUGGGGGAAGGUGGUUGUUUCAAAAAGAUAAAUGAAGACCUGCUACCCAAUGCCACAGUCGCUGCAAACAUGUACUUAUGUGAAAUGGGAUCCUCACUGACCACACCAACAAUGUUUGGCAUCUACCCUUUCUUAACAGAAGAGGAUUGUGCAUGUGCAGAACAGUCCUUUAUUGAAGAGUUUCCUGAGUUAUGUGCCUUAUUAAUAUUAAUUGCAGAUAUUCAAAUCCUUAAAGCAGGUUUGCGUAUCUCCAUUCACUCUGUGAAGACAGUGUAUUUUUAGUUUUAACUGAUUAUAGUUAUGUCAAUUAUUAAAUAAGAGGGUCUCAAUGUUGUAAAUUUAGUCAGUUAAGUGUUCUUGAUAAACAUUUAAAUCUAGUAUUUCUACCAGCAUGUAUUUGCUUAGAACAUUUAUUAAACUGCAUUCAUUGAACAAUGUUAAAUACAAUUUUCCUUGAAAAUGAGCACAGACAAAUAAAAUAUCUAAAAAAAAAUCAACAGUUCUCCUUUCUUUGCCCUGAUGUAAUGGAACAUUGGUGUUACAGAACAUCUCCAUACUAACUAAAAAUAGGUAAGGAUUUUAGAACCCGGAACACUAAAAUAAAAAUAAAAAAACUCCUUUAAAGAGGCAUUAUAAUCCAAUCCAAUCCAAUCCGCUUUAUUUAUAUAGCACAAUUUAAAUAACACAUGGUUUCCAAAGUGCUGUACACCACAACAAUAAAAGACACAAUAGGAUAAAAAGAUAAACACAAUAAAAUAAAAGUAAUAGAAUAAGAUAAAAACAACAUGAAAUUAUAGAAAUAGAAUCAAAUCAAAUAAAUAAAUAAAAUGCACUGCACACACAACACAUUUAAAUCACAUUAAUCACGAUUACCUGGUGUUAAAAGCCAGAGUAAAGAGAUGGGUUUUAAGCAGAGAUUUAAAUUGAAACAGUGAGGAGACUUGUCUGAUGUGUAAUGGCAAUGCAUUCCAUAGUUUUGGAGCUGAAACAGCAAAAAACUCUUUCUCCUCUGAGUUUUAGCCUAGUUCUAGGCACUGUCAGGAGCAGCUGGUCAGCUGACCUGAGAGAGCGGCUGGGAAUGUAGGGGUGCAGCAACUCGGCGAGAUACGGUGGGGCAAGGCGAUUCAAGGAUUUAAAAGCAAAUAAGAGUAGUUUAAAUUGAAUCCUAAAAUGCACAGGCAGC